UACGUAGGGGGCAAGCGUUGUCCGGAUUCAUUGGGCGUAAAGAGCGUGUAGGCGGCUUUACAGGUCCGUUGUGAAAACUCGAGGCUCAACCUCGAGACGCCGGUGGAAACCGUAAAGCUAGAGUCCGGAAGAGGAGUGUGGAAUUCCUGGUGUAGCGGUGAAAUGCGCAGAUAUCAGGAGGAACACCAAUGGCGAAGGCAGCACUCUGGGACGUGACUGACGCUGAGACGCGAAAGCGUGGGGAGCAAACAGG
rnacentral:rRNA from 1 species